rnacentral:rRNA from 1 species
GAUGAACGCUGGCGGCGUGCCUAAUACAUGCAAGUCGAGCGAACGGACGAGAAGCUUGCUUCUCUGAUGUUAGCGGCGGACGGGUGAGUAACACGUGGAUAACCUACCUAUAAGACUGGGAUAACUUCGGGAAACCGGAGCUAAUACCGGAUGAUAUUUUGAACCGCAUGGUUCAAAAGUGAAAGACGGUCUUGCUGUCACUUAUAGAUGGAUCCGCGCUGCAUUGGCUAGUUGGUAAGGUAACGGCUUACCAAGGCAACGAUGCAUAGCCGACCUGAGAGGGUGAUCGGCAACACUGGACCUGAGAACCGGCCAAGACUCUUACGGGAGGCACAGGUAGGGAAUCUUCCGCAAUGGGGGAAAGCCUGACGGAGCAACGCCGGGUGAGUGAUGAAGGUCUUCGGAUCGUAAAACUCUGUUAUUAGGGAAGAACACAUGUGUAAGUAACUGUGCACAUCUUGACGGAACCGAAUCAGAAAGCCACGGUUAACUCCGU